rnacentral:lncRNA from 1 species
AUGGUGGCUCACAGGACAAGGCCACAUUCCUGUCCUGCCAGAAGAGAAGAGAAACUUCAGUCUUCAUGCAGUUCAACCACACCUGUCAUAUGGAAUAUGACAGGGGUUCAUGCAGUUUUCUACCCCACAGUUACAGCAUGUCUGACUGCCUGUUCAGCAUAUGCAAAAAUAUAUGAUGAGUUUAAGCAUGUGAUGACAAAGGCCUUCCAUUAUGGUGUUUGUCAUCACAUGUCACAGACAUCUGGAUGAUCAUUUGGAAUAAACUAAAAACUAAAAACUUGUUACUUCAUCUUUUAUCUUUAUUAUUAUUAUUGUUCUUAUUUUACAUUUUUCAUUGUUAAGCAUUGGGUUUAUUUGUAGUAGUCCUUUCCAACUUCUUUCCCUCUUCCAUGUUACUGUGUCAGCUUGUCAGCAUCUAUUUGAGGUUGGGAGUGGAACAGAAAGUGCCAAUAAAACCAGGAGAGGUUCUUAUAUUUCAGAAGAAGGGAUUAAUUCAAAAGAAAUGACCUAAAUGCCAUAUUUUAUUUAGGAACCCGAGAGCACUCUGCAAAAUAACACAUUCUUAUAAUUUCACCCUCAGAUGAGCCAAGCUACGACUGUCAGGGAAGGUGAUGUAGGUACAGAGCAUGUGAGAGUGGUUAAGUUGAUGUCUCUUGUCUAGAUGAAGGCACAGGAGGGAUCAAUGGCACGGCAUAGAGAUUCAGUAUCUUCAGUCUUCAGUGGACACUCCAUUUCUGGCACAAAACACCUGUAAAAGAUGGUCGAUUUAGGAGGUGACCCGACAACUUCAGCCUGUCAAACAUAGCAAUGGAGCAGUAUUUUUAAAAAAAACCCAACUAAUUAAGCAUGCACUCAGUACCCUAAGAAUUAUUAUGAUAGUUAAACACAGUGAUAGUCACAUAUCAUAUCACUUAAAACAGAGGUGAUCCAGUAAUGCUGCACUAAUGAAUUAGACUAACUAUUCACUUUAGCUAAAGUUAUUAAGUUCGCUAAAGAGUUGGGAUGCUGUGUAAGACAUAAAUAAAGCUCAAAUACAAAGGUUUGGAAACUGUUUUGCAUGUUUCCUUACUGUAGGGGUCUCUGCAAGCAUACAGGGCUCUGAGAGGGUACAAGAUGACAACUUUGGAAUUCUACUAGAAACAGUCGAUCAUAUUUGUUUGUCAAAGCUGAAUUCAGGGCAAACUAGGCUAAAUUAGCGUUUUUAGCUAACAGCUACAAUAAGCAUAAAAGUUACUGUACGGCUAUCAUUUGUUAACAUGACGCUUGUUCUUAUACAUGUAAUACAUUUAUUACCAACCUGAGAGUUUAUCCGCUGGUCAUUCGACAUGACGAAUGACUUCUGAAGUCUUAAUUCAGCUCAAGACGCUGUAGAGUCCCGUCAAUAACACUUAUCAGUCUGCUAGCAAAACCUAGUUCUAUUAAUCUGCGCUUGAACUGGAACCGGAUGUAAGUCCCAAAAAACUGAAUUGUACAACUGAAACUGAAUGGUGAGAGUAAAACUGAAAUUAUUCGAGAGCUGAAUUUUUAACCUCUUGAGCCCCAAGGGGUUUUCUGAGCUUCCUGCUCGAAAAUGCAAUGCCUCAAUUAAAUUGAUUAUUUCUCUGCAAUUACAAACUCCGUCCUUACAAUCUUUGUAUCAAAAUGAAGCCAACACUUGGGACAUUUAAUCAGAGGUGUAAAUAUUAAAGCGGAUAUUACUGUGUCAAAGUUACUGAGACUGGAACACAGAAAAAGGAAGUAGAUUUUAUUCUCGCCUAAUUUUUUUCUUCUUUUGCGGCUAAUUCAGUGAAUUUUGGUCCGAUCGUGGUCAAACUUCGUGUGUUUACGCAGUGAUAGCCCUGGAAGCUAGCCAGCCUAUUUAUAACCAGUUACAUGAAGUCUGAAGACUGUCUGGUUGUCGUUUGCGUGUUUAGCGGACUUCUGCGCAUUACGUAACUGCUCGUUUAAUCGCGGCUUGUUUGCGGUGUGUUUGGUGGUUGUAGAAAUGGUUUAUAUGACAUUGUAGCUGAGAUUCUGAGGUUUCUGUGGAUACCACACAUGUCUGGAGUUAUAUUUCUCAACCGGCGUUAUAACCGAUUAAACGUGAUCUCCUCCCUUUUGCCCCCGGUACCGGGGGCGUGGGGCUUAAGAGGCAGUUUCAAAGCAAAUCAAUUCAUUUUCAAAAUAUAAAAUUCAAUUUCAAUUUAGUGAUGAUCAUUUUCAAACCAUAAAUUCAAUUUCAAAUUAGACUAAUUCAAAUUCAGUUUUCAAAAGCUUUUAUUCAAGUUACAAUUCAAAUUCAAAUUUAACUUAUUCAAAUUCAGUUUCUGAUGGCACAGAUUUCUGCCCAUACAGCGUCACCAUCAGGUUUCCAUAAUGCAGCAGAAGCACAACACCUAAAGUCUACCUGGAG